AAAACAUAAGAGGACAAGUCACCAAAAGUCAAAAGCCCCAGGAGUGUAGUCAAGGGAUCUAAGGGAGAGGGUCAACCACGUCCUUCAAACAUCGGUGACCUGUUUUCAGAAGGGUCUCUGAAUCCAUAUGCUGAUGAUCCAUAUGCAUUUGAUUAAGGUCAGGAAAGAAACCGCUAUGGUACCUCUUAAAUGCCUCACACAUUAGCGGGCAUGUGAUCUGAUCGUGUACAGGAUUUGGUCUUGCGUAUAAGUGGACAUAGAACUAGGGCAAUUUUUACUGAUUUGGAUCAUCAGUUCUGAACUCUU